GAUGAACGCUAGCGGCAGGCUUAAUACAUGCAAGUCGAGGGGCAGCACGGGUAGCAAUACUUGGUGGCGACCGGCGCACGGGUGCGUAAAACGUAGACAGCCUACCUAUAACAGGGGGAUAGCCUUACGAAAGAGAGAUUAAUACCCCGUAAUAAGUUGAAUGACAUCAUUUGACGUUGAAAGUUCCGACAGUUAUAGAGGGGUAUGCGUCCUAUUAGGUAGUUGGUGGUGUAGUGGACCACCAAGGCGACGAAAGGGAGGGGAUCUGAGGACUAACCCCCACACUGGUACUGAGACACGGACCAGACUCCUACGGGAGGCAGCAGUAAGGAAUAUUGGACAAUGGUCGCAAGACUGAUCCAGCCAUGCCGCGUGCAGGAAGACGGCCCUAUGGGUUGUAAACUGCUUUUGUACCAGAGAAAACCUACUCACGUGUGAGUAGCUGAUAGUAUGGUAAGAAUAAGCAUCGGCUAACUUCGUGCCAGCAGCCGCUGUAACAC
rnacentral:rRNA from 1 species